CUCAGGAAGCGCUAGGAGCAUCCUUUAACGGAGGUACCCAGUCGGGGUGCCAGGCGAUCCGUUACAUUGGUGGCAAGCGGUGGGAUGGCGUCCUAGUGCGAGGUAAAGCAGCUCAGAGACACCAUUCGUGGAGUUACAAAUUGAGGGCAACGCUAGCACACGUGCAGCGCCCCUGGGGCAGAGGUAUCCAGCGACUUGGAGCAGACAAGUAUGGAAGGCUCUGGCAAUGAUUGGAUGGCCGAGGUGAGGCAGCGAGUGGCCCAGUAUGGGGAUGAUUUACC